UUCGGAAGCGCUGAAAUAUAG
rnacentral:piRNA from 1 species